rnacentral:piRNA from 1 species
UGCAAAUAACCAAUUAGGUCAGGGGUCCAUC